rnacentral:lncRNA from 1 species
AGCUUGUCUUCAUAAAAGAUAUAGUGGGAUGCCUGGUUCCUAAGCUUCCGAGCCUCCUUUAGAUCCAUCGAUAACAUUCCAUCCCUGAGGAAGUGGAUGAACGGAUUUAUCCAGCUUGGCUCAUUAUCAACUUGCAAGACUAAAGUAGGUUCUUCGAUGCUGGAUUCUUUCACGACUUCAAAGAAAGAUUCCGUGGGUAGGUCCUCCGGUGCUGACUUGGAUACCAGUUAAACAUCAAAACUAGAGAAUAUGGAGAUUAGAUCCUUUAGCUUCAGUAGGUACCUUUUCAUAUCUUCCUCCCAAGCUUCAUAAUCUCCCAUGACUUUUCUGACCACCAGCUAAGAAUCACUGCAGAUCUUUAACUCUUGUACUUUAAAUUUUUUAGCAAUUUUUAGCCCGACGACAAGAGCUUCAUAUCAACCUCAUUAUUGGUGGUCAGAAACUCGAAGUAUAAAACAUAUUCUAUGAUUGUUUCCUCUGGUCUAAUGAGCAUCAAACCUACUCCUGAUUCGAUCGAAUUUGAUGACCCAUCUACAUGCAUGACCCACGACUUCUUAGGUUUGUCUUCUGGUGGAUUCUCUUUUGUCGGUUCAUUCUCCUUGGCACUUUCUUCCAAAAUUGUACAUUCCAAAAUAAAAUUGGCCAACACCUACAUGUUGAUAGAGGGACG